GAUGAACGCUGGCGGCGUGCCUAAUACAUGCAAGUCGAGCGAACGGACGAGAAGCUUGCUUCUCUGAUGUUAGCGGCGGACGGGUGAGUAACACGUGGAUAACCUACCUAUAAGACUGGGAUAACUUCGGGAAACCGGAGCUAAUACCGGAUAAUAUUUUGAACCGCAUGGUUCAAAAGUGAAAGACGGUCUUGCUGUCACUUAUAGAUGGAUCCGCGCUGCAUUAGCUAGUUGGUAAGGUAACGGCUUACCAAGGCAACGAUGCAUAGCCGACCUGAGAGGGUGAUCGGCCACACUGGAACUGAGACACGGUCCAGACUCCUACGGGAGGCAGCAGUAGGGAAUCUUCCGCAAUGGGCGAAAGCCUGACGGAGCAACGCCGCGCGAGCGAUGAAGGUCUUCGGAUCGUAAAACUCUGUUAUUAGGGAAGAACAUAUGUGUAAGUAACUGUGCACAUCUUGACGGUACCUAAUCAGAAAGCCACGGCUAACUACGUG
rnacentral:rRNA from 1 species